GUUUGCUUAAAUGUAAGUAUCGAAUUCUAUAUAUGAUUUUUGAUUGUAGAUAUUAACAUUGGAAUUGGAAAUCAUGUGUGAUGUUAACAAACAACAACUUUCUUACGUACGCCAAAGAUUCUCUACUACGCCUGCAUUAUUCCGGAAUAUCAAACAUAAGAUGCAUCCGAUGAUCAGGAUCAUCACGAUCAGAGCAACAAGACUACAGGUAAUUUGGAGUAGUUGUCGUCAGGGCUUCAGUGGUCGGAACUUCAGUCGUUGGGGUUUCUUUCGUUGGCAUUUCAGUGGUAGGAAUUAAGAAAUUGUUUGGUGCGAAUGAAUUCCCCUUCUUCCAACGUGUUAUUAUUGUCUGUAUUCAGCCAUGAGAUCAUCAAUCAUCUAUCAAUAAUUGAAUAAUGCGGAAUAGUGCUACUGAUCGCACACGCUACACUUUUAUUGUUGAUGUUGGACAGGUGCUAAUUUCCGUCGCUGUUGAUUCCGACUUGGCCUUCGUGUUGGCCGCUGCCUUCGGUCCCAUUUUCAUCGUGCUGUAAGCUGAACUUCUUCUUUCCUUGCGUUUUUUUCCCCUUUCUGUUGUUACAAGUUAUUUUGCAACUCAACUUGUAUUUUUCCUCACCCAUCCCUACCGUUUCACAUUUCUAUUUUUUUCCUCUCGCGUUCAUAAUGUCGUUUGUCGUUGUGAUACUUGUCUUAUAAUUAUUUUCGUUUUCUGAAUUUAUUUUUAUAUUAUUAACACGGCAAUCCCUUCAAACAUAGCUGGCCAGAGUGAGUA